AGUGGGCUUCAACUCAAUCCCUAGACGGGUUGCCAAAGGUUCAUCCUGUUUUUCAUUGGCAACUUCUACACGUACAUCCAAAAGAAUUCAAAUUACUGUCAGUUGUGAUUUGUGCUCCUGUCAAGCUGAAACUAGAACAUGGCAUCACUUUUCCUCAGUGUGCCACCAUAAAAUAAAGUCAGUUGAUAUUGAUACAGGUCAUCCCUGACAAAUAUAAGAAUGAUUUUGCAAUUUUGCAUUUCAAUGCCUUUCCAUAUAGUCCAUGUUCAUAGGCACAUCAGAGAGUUAUGUCCUAAAUUAGCAAAUCUAAUUUCCUACUAUCUUGGACCCAUCACUCUGCAUUGUCCAUUUCAAAGGCACUCUACUUUUGUUUAAAAGAACUCCUUGCUCUUUCCCAGCUGUCAGAGUGCAGUCACUUGAUUCUGCUCCUAAAUAGAUAAAAAUAAAAAAGCCAUGUCUCUGUUGCAGAAUGCCACACAGAAAGAAGACAGGAAACAUGUUUAUAAAAAUAGGUCUGCUACCCAGUUCAUGUCCAUCAGACAGUGCCACCCUCAUGAGGUAAUGUUGUCAUAACUCUGAUGGGAGCCAAGAGUUUACAUAAAAGUUAAAAAGAGAAAGGAGACAUGAAACCAGACUUCUCUGUCAAGUUGCGUUUUCAGGCUGCAUUUGCAGGCAAGAGCACAGGAUGCAACACAGCCACCACCAAGCACAGUGAGGUCUGAGGUUCCAGUGAUGUCAAUGCUGAUUUUUAGAAUUCUGCUCUCUGUUUUGUGAAGCUAUACCAGCAGCGUUUUCCUUAAUCUGCUCUGGAUUUGGCAGAGGUGAUCCCUGAAGUCAAUUUGAAGGUCAAUCCCAUGCAGUUUAAGCAGGAACUCUGUAAACCCUGACAGCAUGCUUAAAGCAAACACUUCAUAGAUUGAAGUCCAAGUACUGAUGGAAAGAUUUGUGGCUGGAAGACUGUAGUUAAGAGAUCAGUAGUGCUACACAAAGGAUGCUGGACUCUGCAGAGAAAUGUGAGCUGCUAGACACCAAAAGCCUGCAAAGUAAGGUGUGAAACAUUUUGCCCAUUCUCAAAAUCUGCUGAAUCCUUGUUCCUCUCGGAGAACAGGUGAGGACUCAGGUUCUCUGCAGAAACACAGGAACAACUCUUCAGGAUCAGGGGUCCUUCAGGUGGUAGCUGUCAAGCAGAUUUAGGAAUUAAAUGUCUAUUUCUAAGUGAGGAGUAAGACUCUUCUCCUACUUGUGGAAAUUCUUUUGUCUUUAUUCAAACAUGCAAGACCUAACAGAAAAUUGAUAUAAUAAAUUUUAAACCACCCCCAUUUAUCUGUGUUAUUUCAAAAUCCUGAACUUGUCAUGUUGGUGCAAUUAGUCUCAACUAAGACAGUUGACUAUAACAGUCAAGAAUGUAAGUUAACCUCAACUAAAAUUCCAUCUUUAUCUUCAUGUUACACACAACUGUACAAUACCAGUGUUCAGAUGUAAAUGUCUAAAAUGUUGUUAAUGAAAGGCAAGAUUUCAGUGAAUAACUUUCCAGGAAGAAUUGAAAUUUUGUGCUAUUUGAGAAAUAUAAUUUUAAAUAAGGAAAUGAGCAAUCUCACAGCAAAGCAGGAAACUUAAUUAAAAAACUAGUGGUCAUUCAUGCAAUGCUUAUCUUGAUAACCAUAACCAGACAAAUGAGAGAGACAUCAUGUUUUCAGUUCCCAUACAGCCUUCUUGGGCAUUAAAAGGUGGCUACCUCUUCAGCUGGCAGGAGAUAGAAAAUUCUCUAAGACUGUCAUCAAGCACUUAAUAUGCUCUUCAAAACUUUUAUUUACAUGAAGGAUGAUAUACCUUAACAUUUUUCUCAUACUGUGAGGAAUUUCACACAAACAGCUCUAACAUGGAAUCUUUUUAAGGUUCUCUGCAAUCAAUGGAACCAUGGAUGGAAUUGUGAUGAUAAAUCUUCUGCAUGGCUUUUGUCUAAGGUUCCUCAUUUCGAAACUGUUGUACGAUUAUAGUGAGAAGCUGGUUAAUGGAAGUGUUCAUUGGAAUAAAUAUAAAUAUCCUUGGGAAAAUGCAUAGAACCAGAAAGUUUGGGUUUAAUUUGCUUGUUUGCUAUUUAAAAAUGAACUGAAUAGUGAAAAUUGCAAUAAUGUUUGUAUCAGUAAUUUCUAAAAUUCUCUUUGAGAAAUGAUUUUUUUUUUUUUUUUUAAU